UACGGAGGGUGCAAACGUUGCUCGGAAUUAUUGGGCGUAAAGCGCACGUAGGCGGCUUGUUAAGUCGGAUGUGAAAGCCCUCGGCUCAACCGAGGAAGUGCAUUCGAAACUGUCGAGCUUGAAUAUGGAAGAGGGUCGCGGAAUUCCCGGUGUAGAGGUGAAAUUCGUAGAUAUCGGGAGGAACACCAGUGGCGAAGGCGGCUCUCUGGACCUCUGCUGACGCUGAGGCGCGAAAGCGUGGGGAGCGAUCCGG
rnacentral:rRNA from 1 species